AUUGAACGCUGGCGGCAGGCCUAACACAUGCAAGUCGAGCGAGCGGCGGACGGGUGAGUAAUGUCUGGGAAACUGCCUGAUGGAGGGGAAUAACUACUGGAAACGGUAGCUAAUACCGCAUACCAUCAGAUGUGCCCAAAUGGGAUUAGCUAGUAGGUGGGGUAACGGCUCACCUAGGCGACGAUCCCUAUCUGGUCUGAGAGGAUGACCAGCAAAACUGGAACUGCGACACGGUCCAAACUCCUACGCGAGGCGGCAGGGGGGAACAUGGCACAAUGGGCGCAAGCCUGAUGCAGCCAUGCCGCGUGUGUGAAGAAGGCCGGCGGGUUGUAAAGCACUUUCAGCGGGGAGGCGUUACCCGCAGAAGAAGCACCGGCUAACUCCGUGCCAGCAGCCGCGGUAAUUC
rnacentral:rRNA from 1 species